GACGAACGCUGGCGGCGUGCCUAAUACAUGCAAGUCGAACGCUUCUUUCCUCCCGAGUGCUUGCACUCAAUUGGAAAGAGGAGUGGCGGACGGGUGAGUAACACGUGGGUAACCUACCCAUCAGAGGGGGAUAACACUUGGAAACAGGUGCUAAUACCGCAUAACAGUUUAUGCCGCAUGGCAUAAGAGUGAAAGGCGCUUUCGGGUGUCGUUGAUGGAUGGACCCGCGGUGCAUUAGCUAGUUGGUGAGGUAACGGCUCACCAAGGCCACGAUGCAUAGCCGACCUGAGAGGGUGAUCGGCCACACUGGGACUGAGACACGGCCCAGACUCCUACGGGAGGCAGCAGUAGGGAAUCUUCGGCAAUGGACGAAAGUCUGACCGAGCAACGCCGCGUGAGUGAAGAAGGUUUUCGGAUCGUAAAACUCUGUUGUUAGAGAAGAACAAGGACGUUAGUAACUGAACGUCCCCUGGCGGUAUCUAACCAGAAAGCCACGGCUAACUACGU
rnacentral:rRNA from 1 species